AGAUUUUGCAGAAGUGACGC
rnacentral:snRNA from 1 species